AACUUUUGGCAAUGGAUCUCUUGGCUCUCGCAUCGAUGAAGAACGCAGUGAAAUGCGAUAAGUAAUGUGAAUUGCAGAAUUCAGUGAAUCAUCGAUUCUUUGAACGCACCUUGCGCUCCUUGGUAUUCCGAGGAGCAUGCCUGUUUGAGUGUCAUUAAUAUAAUCAACCUUUUCUUGUUUUGAGAAUGGUUUGGAUGUGGGGGUUUGCUGGCUUCUCUCAAAAGGUUCAGCUCCCCUGAAAUGCAUUAGCAGAACAACCUUUGCUCAUUGGUGUGAUAACUAUCUACGCUUAUGAAUACGGAGGGGCAGUUCAGCUUUCUAACGGUCUUUGGACAAUUCAUCAUUAAUGUGACCUCAAAUCAGGUAGGACUACCCGCUGAACUUAAGCAUAUCAAUAAGCGGAGGCU
rnacentral:misc_RNA from 1 species